rnacentral:misc_RNA from 1 species
GCAUGCACCUGCCACAGCGUGUCACCCGUGGAUGAGUGCGCUGUUCACAAAAGCACCUCCAACUUCAGCUCCAACCCCCCCGCACACGCAAACGCGCAAGCAUACAUACACACUUAGAGGUGCCGUUCGCCUCUCCUUGCGAAGGAACGGAAAGCCGCUAUAGUCAUGUUUUGCCGCGACACGCUCUGCGACACGACGCCGGCUGUCAUAGACUUCCUCAACGGCCUCUCCACCGCUGCGAGUAAGUCGCCCUGCAGCGGCGACGGCGCACUACAACACGGCCAUAACGCGCAGAGCUGUAUGCCUGUUAUGGGUCAUGUUUUCCUCAGCAGUCUGCUCUGUGUCUCGAGGCUUGCACGCAAGCGACAGCUUCUCCUGAAGAGCCUCAAGCCGUCAGCCCUGCCGCCAAGAGCGUCUGCAACGCCGUCGAUGGAAGGCAUCGCAGUGCAGUCCCCUUCAGCAGCAGACGCAGGCGAUACAGUCUUUGUGCGCCUGGUGCUUUCUCUCCUCGGGCACGCACUGAUGAGGCAGGCAACCAUGGCACCAUGCGCCGCCGCCCCGGGCGACAAUGCCUCUCUGCAAGCAGCGCCACUGCCCUGGUGGCCCGCAACCUCCGCUCCAAGUGAGAGCGCGCAAGAUUUCGUGUAUGAUGUGCAGUGCGUGGGCGACGAAGACGACCGAGCCGGCGACAACGUCGGGUUCAGUGAGGAACAUGCGCCCGGGGUGGGCCACACACCCUUCACCGCCAGCACAAGCGUUCAUUGUCGUAUCGUCUUGCGUUCGCAUCCGGUGGCCAUAUUUUCCCCCGCGAUGAUGAGUGAGUUAACGCUGGACGCUGAGCAGCGCACGUCCGUCGCAUCGAGGACCGGGUGCCACGGCGGAGCGCCAGGUGCCGACAGCAGUGAGGCCGUGGAUGCCGAAGCGGUUUCUGGCUCGUGCGUUGCGCGUGCCUUGGAAGUGUUCGACGCACGCGUGCGCGACCACGAGGAGGCGUGCCUGCGUCAGAUCGCUGAGAUAGUAGGGUCGCUGCAGCGGCUUCUUGAGAAGCCCGCCACAGAGGUGCAGAGCCCCGGCGGACUGGCCAGUACAGGCUUUCCUUCUGAAAGCGCGAACGGUGACGCCUCUCGGCUUGGCGGUUGCGCCUCGCCACUUCACGAGUGGACCAUAGACGUCCCCAUCUAUGGUGUGGUUCUUUGCAUCGAGGACACGCAUGCUACGCGGCUGGAGCGCGUACGCCGCCUCACCACACCGCUGCUGCAGGCGGCGACCGGCUGUGGUAACGCGGCAGGCGGGCCUCUCGGUCCCGUAACACAGGUCCUUUCCAAGCUGCACACCUGGUGUGCUGCAUCGACGGCGGCGUCGUUCACCUCGAGUGCGUCCCCUGGCGCUUUUUCGUGCGUCCCCGGCAUACGGACUAUCACACGCAUGCAUGUGACGGAGUUGCGCCAGCUCGUUGACAGCCACCUCAAGGACUCACAGACAGCAGCAGCGCGUCUACCAGGGCCGGCCUACCCCGCCACCGUGGGUUACGACGCUUCACAGGCUUUGGCGGCUCCUGCUUGCGUCGUGCACUGCCAGCUCGGCGUGUCACGCAGCCCAAGCGUGGUGAUGCUCUUCUACAUGGACGUGCUCGCGUCACAGCUGCGCGCGGCUGCCUCGGCAGCAGAGGCGCCCCUCGACAUAUAUCACGGCCUCCUGAACGCGCUCGUCCAGGCGCGUCAUCAAGUACGGCCGAACGUCUGCUUUUCCGCGCAGCUGCUUUCGCUCUGGAGACGGUCGAUGCAGCUCGACACACCAGCCAGCCCCACGCGAGUCGUGUAGAGGGAGAGAGAACCACCAUCACCACCACCCAAGCACAGACACACAGGCGCGCAAGGUGCAUGUGCACUGAUGGUGGUUUGGUCAGUGGGGGCGAAGCACUGAUGCAGCUGUUGCAGGGGACUCCUCGUCCUUGACUCAACGCAUGCGCACGUCUAUGUGCAUGUGUAUCCGUGUAUCUCUGGAGUAUGCGUGUGUGCCCGUGUGUGUGUGUGUGUGGACUACUCACCGGCAGUCUGUGUGCCGCACAGCGUGCCCGUUGUCGUUUGAGAAGAGCGGAC